UACGUAGGGUGCAAGCGUUGUCCGGAAUUAUUGGGCGUAAAGAGCUCGUAGGCGGUUUGUCGCGUCUGCUGUGAAACCCCGAGGCUCAACCUCGGGCCUGCAGUGGGUACGGGCAGACUAGAGUGCGGUAGGGGAGAUUGGAAUUCCUGGUGUAGCGGUGGAAUGCGCAGAUAUCAGGAGGAACACCAAUGGCGAAGGCAGAUCUCUGGGCCGUAACUGACGCUGAGGAGCGAAAGCAUGGGGAGCGAACAGG
rnacentral:rRNA from 1 species